rnacentral:rRNA from 1 species
ACGCAUUCUAGAGCCUAUAUUCAUUCUAAUUAACAAUCAAAAUUACACUCAAAUCCAAAUUCUAAAUUUUGAUACCAAAAUCUAUCUUAAAAUUAAAAUUAUUGUAAUCCAUCUCUUCUAUUAAAAGCUGCACCUUGAUCUGAUCUUUUAUAUAAUAAUAUAACUAAAUUAUAUAUUUUUAAAAAUAGUUAAAAACGACGAUAUACAAGCAUAAUAAUAGUAUUAUUAAUCGUGGAUCAUCGAUUACAGGACAGAUUCCCCUGAUUGGAAUAAAAAACCGCCAAAUUUUUUGAUUUUGAAGAACAUAACUUUAACUAAUCAAGUUUUAAAUUUUUCAACGUCUAGAAUAAUGGGGUAUCUAAUCCCAGUUUAAAACCCAGAUUUCUCAACCUCAUAAACAAAAAUUAAAUUAAAUAAAAAAUAGGAUUUCACUCGAUAUUAAAUUAAAAUAAAAAUUUCAAAUCUAUUAAUUAAAUAUAACUAAAAAAAAAUAAUAGCAUUAUUUGUUUAACCGCA